rnacentral:rRNA from 1 species
UACGAAGGGGGCUAGCGUUGCUCGGAAUCACUGGGCGUAAAGGGUGCGUAGGCGGGUCUUUAAGUCAGGGGUGAAAUCCUGGAGCUCAACUCCAGAACUGCCUUUGAUACUGAAGAUCUUGAGUUCGGGAGAGGUGAGUGGAACUGCGAGUGUAGAGGUGAAAUUCGUAGAUAUUCGCAAGAACACAAGUGGCGAAGGCGGCUCACUGGCCCGAUACUGACGCUGAGGCACGAAAGCGUGGGGAGCAAACAGG